rnacentral:misc_RNA from 1 species
AAGUCGUAACAAGGUCUCCGUUGGUGAACCAGCGGAGGGAUCAUUACGAAUGGGUCUGAAGACUCUUAAAACCUACCGUGCUCCCCUACGUGGAAAACAGGAAAGCCCUCCGGGGCAUAGGAAAUCUGAGAAGUUGAGAACUGCGCCCCGGCGCAUGACUAAAACAAAAAAUUACAACCCAUAACAAUGGAUCUCUUGGCUCUG